rnacentral:misc_RNA from 1 species
GGGGAAUUUUCCGCAAUGGGCGAAAGCCUGACGGAGCAAUACCGCGUGAGGGAGGAAGGCUCUUGGGUCGUAAACCUCUUUUCUCAGGGAAGAAGCAAUGACGGUACCUGAGGAAUCAGCAUCGGCUAACUCCGUGCCAGCAGCCGCGGUAAUACGGAGGAUGCAAGCGUUAUCCGGAAUGAUUGGGCGUAAAGCGUCCGCAGGUGGCACAUCAAGUCUGCUGUCAAAGACCCCAGCUUAACUGGGAAGAGGCGGUGGAAACUGGUGAGCUAGAGAGCAAUAGGGGUAGAGGGAAUUCCCGGUGUAGCGGUGAAAUGCGUAGAGAUCGGGAAGAACACCAGUGGCGAAAGCGCUCUACUAGGUUGACUCUGACACUGAGGGACGAAAGCUAGGGGAGCGAAUGGGAUUAGAUACCCCAGUAGUCCUAGCCGUAAACGAUGGAUACUAGGCGUUUCUCGUAUCGACCCGAGGAGUGCCGGAGCCAACGCGUUAAGUAUCCCGCCUGGGGAGUACGCACGCAAGUGUGAAACUCAAAGGAAUUGACGGGGGCCCGCACAAGCGGUGGAGUAUGUGGUUUAAUUCGAUGCAACGCGAAGAACCUUACCAGGGCUUGACAUGUCUGGAACCCAGGGGAAACUUUGGGGUGCCGAAAGGAGCCAGAACACAGGUGGUGCAUGGCUGUCGUCAGCUCGUGUCGUGAGAUGUUGGGUUAAGUCCCGCAACGAGCGCAACCCUCGUGCUUAGUUGCCAUCAUUAAGUUGGGCACUCUAGGCAGACUGCCGGUGACAAACCGGAGGAAGGUGGGGAUGACGUCAAGUCAGCAUGCCCCUUACGUCCUGGGCGACACACGUACUACAAUGCCAUCGACAACGGGAAGCCAACCAGCGAUGGGGAGCAAAGCCCAGCAAACGAUGGCUCAGUUCAGAUCGCAGGCUGCAACUCGCCUGCGUGAAGGCGGAAUCGCUAGUAAUCGCCGGUCAGCCAUACGGCGGUGAAUACGUUCCCGGGCCUUGUACACACCGCCCGUCACACCAUGGAAGUUGGCCACGCCCGAAGUCAUUACUCUAACCAUUCGUGGAGGAGGAUGCCGAAGGCAGGGCUGAUGACUGGGGUGAAGUCGUAACAAGGUAGCCGUACCGGAAGGUGUGGCUGGAUCACCUCCUUUACAGGGAGACCAACUUCAAGUCGUAAGUCGUUGAAGUCGCAAGUCGAGAGUGAAAACCAGACAGGUGACGGAAACAUCAAAAAGACUGCAACUUGAGGACAUCCCGAGGUCGGACAACACGAACAAAAAAACUCGAGUGAGGCAACGCUUUCAAACUAAUACUGGUUUGGUGGAAGACACAGCACCAGUAGGGGCUAUUAGCUCAGGUGGUUAGAGCGCACCCCUGAUAAGGGUGAGGUCCCUGGUUCGAGUCCAGGAUGGCCCACCUUCAAAAAUUCGCAAUUGGUCAAUUCGCAAUGCGCAAUUGAAGCUCAAAAUUGCGUUUGCCGAGUCAAGUGGAGAAAAAGUCAGCACUGUCUGCUGGUCGGACAACUGCUGGAAGUUUUCCAGCCAAAGCACCUUGAAAACUGCAUAGAGAAUCGAGAAAAGAAGUCAGGUAGAAACCAAGAAUUUGCGUAAUUUACUGGUCAAGCGAAACACAGCUGACGGCGGAUACCUAGGCACACAGAG